rnacentral:rRNA from 1 species
UACGGAGGAGGCAAGCGUUAUCCGGAGUUACUGGGCGUAAAGGGCGUGUAGGCGGUUUGUUAAGUCUGGCGUGAAAGCUCUCGGCUAAACCGGGAGAGGUCGUUGGAUACUGGCAAACUAGAGGACGGUAGAGGCGUGUGGAAUUCCGGGUGUAGUGGUGAAAUGCGUAGAGAUCCGGAGGAACACCAGUGGCGAAGGCGACACGCUGGGCCGUACCUGACGCUAAAGCGCGACAGCAUGGGGAGCAAACGGG